UCACCCGUUUCGGGGACCUUGGUACAGGCAGGCCGAGGAUUCCCCUCUUUAAUCCCGGUCCGCCACGUUCAAGACGCCGGACCACGCUUUUGGGGACCCUGGUACAGGCAGGCCGGGAAUCCCCUUCUUUACACCGGGGCUCAUCGCCAGCAAGGCGAUCAGUCCCUGCCACUUUGGGGGCCUUGGUACAGGCAGGCCGGGGUUUCCCUCUUUUAUUGCUCGCGC
rnacentral:ncRNA from 1 species